GAUGAACGCUGGCGGCGUGCCUAAUACAUGCAAGUCGAGCGGACCAAAGAGAGCUUGCUCUCUGAGGUUAGCGGCGGACGGGUGAGUAACACGUGGGUAGCCUGCCUGUAAGACGGGGAUAACUUCGGGAAACCGAAGCUAAUACCGGAUGAUAAAGAGAAACGCCUGUUUCUUUUUUGAAAGUCGGCCUUGUGCUGACGCUUACAGAUGGGCCCGCGGCGCAUUAGCUAGUUGGUGAGGUAACGGCUCACCAAGGCGACGAUGCGUAGCCGACCUGAGAGGGUGAUCGGCCACACUGGGACUGAGACACGGCCCAGACUCCUACGGGAGGCAGCAGUAGGGAAUCUUCGGCAAUGGACGAAAGUCUGACCGAGCAACGCCGCGUGAGCGAUGAAGGCCUUCGGGUCGUAAAGCUCUGUUGUCAGAGAAGAACAAGUACCGGAGUAACUGCCGGUACCUUGACGGUACCUGACCAGAAAGCCACGGCUAACUACGUGCCAGCCGCCGCAGUAA
rnacentral:rRNA from 1 species